rnacentral:lncRNA from 1 species
CUCAAGAGGAACGCAGCCUCGUGGCACCUGGGUUGUAGCCCAGGGAGACCCAUGUCAGAUUUCUAACCUACACAACACUAAGAUAAUAAAUGGUGAUGUUUUAAGCCGCUAAGCUCGUGGCGAUUUGUUACAGCAGCCACAGGAAACUAAUAUCUUAGAGCGACGUUCCCCACACAGGACAAGAGCCCCGCUUGCUCAGAAAGAGGCACCUCCUCCUGCUGGGGGCUGGAGGGUGUGGCGGUCAAGCCAUGGCCGGGAAGGCAGCCCACACCUGGGUGUGAAUCCUGGCCCUCUCAGCAUGGCCCAGGGUGUGCUGCCAGUUUGAGGACACAGGUGUGAGGCCCACACAGCUGCCUGCUACUACUGACCCCAUGUCCACCCUGGUGGCUGUGGGGCCCCGGGGGGUCUGAAUAAAGGCUGGUCCCCACACCUCUAAUCCUCCAAACAACAUUGCAAGGUGUCCUGUUAUCCCCAUUUCACAGCAGAAGAAACUGAGGCUCAGAGAAGGGGAGGAAUCUGUAACAGCCUAUCCCAUCCAUCAUCCUGAGAGCUUUUCAAACUCUAGAUUCCUAAGCCCAGCUGCAGACCCUCUGAGUAAGGAUCUCCAGGAAUCAAAACCAAGCAGCUCUUCUCCAAGCUCCACAAGGGGUCCCAGUGCCCAGACAGGCUCAAGGACCACUGGAUAGUGUCGCUGUGAGCUGCCAGGGUAAAUCCUCAUUUCUGCAGAGUGAAAAAAGACACCUAACUGGCAUCUGCUCUGGCCCAGGCCCUGGGCUGCACCUUUUCUGACUACGAGCAGGUGCCAGGAGCCAGUCAGCUCCCCAGGCCAAGCGGUCAACAAGGAGGCCACUUAUACACGUGUCUCCGCCCUUCUGAGGAAGCCAGGACCCCUCAGCCUCCCAGGUCUCAUCCACUUCCACAGAGACCCACACGGCCCGAACUGCUCAUUUUACAGAGGAGGGACAGAGGGCCGCCUGCCACCAAUGACGGACAGAGGCAGGACUAGAACCCAGAUCUCCUUAGGCCGACUCACUGGUGGCACCAUUUCCCAUGCAAGGCCCAACCCCGAGCAGGUGUUAAGCAGAGAAUGCUGCCUGGCUCCUGGUGCCCCUCAAACUGUGCCCAAUAAGACACCCCGAAAAGCACCCAGAUAUAAGAGGGGUGCCAUCCCAGGCUGGAGCGGACACCACUUCUCAUCUGUAAAUGAUUUCUGGAUCCCUUAUCCCUCAGGCAG